rnacentral:lncRNA from 1 species
UUUUGUCAGGGUUGUACCCAACCUUCUUCAAGUAGGAAGACACCUCCUUGAUGAUCUCAUCGUACCUAGCCUUGGAGUACUUAGGGGUAGUAGCAUCCAUCUGAAUCAACAAAACUUUGUGUUAGUUAAACCAAACUGAAUAAGCAAUCACAAUAAGAAAAUCAACAAUGUACAGUGACUUCACCUUGUUACAGCAGCAAAUCAUCUGCUUGACACCAAGGGUGAAAGCAAGAAGAGCAUGCUCACGGGUCUGACCAUCCUUGGAGAUACCAGCCUCAAAACCACCAGUGGUGGAGUCAAUGAUCAAAACAGCACAAUCAGCCUGGGAGGUACCAGUAAUCAUGUUCUUGAUGAAAUCACGAUGUCCAGGAGCGUCAAUGACCGUGCAGUAGUACUUGGUGGUCUCGAACUUCCAGAGAGCGAUAUCAAUGGUGAUACCACGCUCACGCUCGGCCUUAAGUUUGUCUAAGACCCAGGCGUACUUGAAGGACCUCUUGUUCAUCUCAGCAGCCUCCUUCUCGAACCUCUCGAUGACACGCUUGUCAAUACCACCGAGCUUGUAGAUCAAGUGACCAGUGGUGGUCGAUUUUCCAGAGUCGACAUGGCCGAUGACCACAAUGUUGAUGUGAAACUUCUC